rnacentral:rRNA from 1 species
CCUACGGGAGGCAGCAGUGAGGAAUAUUGGUCAAUGGGCGCGAGUCUGAACCAGCCAAGUCGCGUGAAGGAAGACUGCCCUAUGGGUUGUAAACUUCUUUUAUAAAGGGGUAAAGUCAGGCACGUGUGCCUUUUUGUAUGUACUUUAUGAAUAAGGAUCGGCUAACUCCGUGCCAGCAGCCGCGGUAAUACGGAGGAUCCGAGCGUGAUCCGGAUUGAUUGGGUUUAAAGGGAGGGUAGGCGGGCUGAUAAGUCAGUUGUGAAAGGUUGAGGCUCAACUUCAGAAUUGCAUUUGAUACUGGCAGGCUUGAGAACAGUUGAGGUAGGCGGAAUGCGUGGUGUAGCGGUGAAAUGCUUAGAGAUCAUGAAGAACACCGAUUGCGAAGGCAGCCUACUAAGCUACCUCUGACAUUGAUGCACGAAAGUGUGGGGAUCAAACAGGAUUAGAUACCCUGGUAGUC